UGUUAGAGGGUGAAUCAAAUUAAUUUUCUUAAUUAUGAAACUCAAACUCUGACUUCCAGCAGCAAAUGAAACCAUUAUCCUGUCUGUGUAGCGUGAGUAUUAGAGCUGAUUACACAUUGACAAACAGCUUUGCUCAAGUAAUUCAGCCUAAUCAUGAUAACAGUGCUAUUUAUCUUCAGUUGUGUCUUAGCCCUAGCUUGGCUUUAGACAUGAAAAGAGGAUGCUAGCUUGGUAAGCGAUACCAUGCUAAUUAUUGGAUUGUGUUUACUUUUGCUUAGAAAUGAUACAACAAGAUUUAAAGUCUGGGUGGGAAACGUUUGUGCAUUGAUUGAAACUAAAGGCACUCAGAAAAAAAAA